GGCCCGGGGGGGGCGAUCAGGCAGGUGGUUUUCCCAGGGCGAGGCUCAUCCCUUGCACUCCGGGUGUGCUGACCCCUGCGAUUUCCCCAAAUGCGGGAAACUCGACUGCAUAAUUUGUGGUAGUGGGGGACUGCGUUCGCGCUCUCCCCUG
rnacentral:snRNA from 1 species